GAUGAACGCUGGCGGCGUGCCUAAUACAUGCCAGUCGAGCGAACAGACGAGGAGCUUGCUCCUCUGACGUUAGCGGCGGACGGGUGAGUAACACGUGGAUAACCUACCUAUAAGACUGGGAUAACUUCGGGAAACCGGAGCUAAUACCGGAUAAUAUAUUGAACCGCAUGGUUCAAUAGUGAAAGACGGUUUUGCUGUCACUUAUAGAUGGAUCCGCGCCGCAUUAGCUAGUUGGUAAGGUAACGGCUUACCAAGGCGACGAUGCGUAGCCGACCUGAGAGGGUGAUCGGCCACACUGGAACUGAGACACGGUCCAGACUCCUACGGGAGGCAGCAGUAGGGAAUCUUCCGCAAUGGGCGAAAGCCUGACGGGGCAACGCCGCGUGAGUGAUGAAGGUCUUCGGAUCGUAAAACUCUGUUAUUAGGGAAGAACAAAUGUGUAAGUAACUAUGCACGUCUUGACGGUACCUAAUCAGAAAGCCACGGCUAACUACGUG
rnacentral:rRNA from 1 species